UGCCAUGCCAACUGAUGAGACGUGCGGCGUGCAAGUGCGUGCUGACGUCAUGUUCCCGCGCCAGUGACUGGGAAGAGAGUUCAAUAACAUUGUGGUAUCAAGUAAAAAAUUGGAGUGUCUCUGGACUAAUGGUUGUAAUAUAGAGUCCAAAUAGAUGGAGGUAGGCUGUAAUAGCGAUCCUCUGGCCGAUACUAUGGGGCGCCCGGGCGGAGGUAACAAACCCUUAUGAAUCUUAGGGAGCGUGUAUAGAAGCGGCAUCACUGGAUACUUAGGGAGUAGGAUAUCGAAGACUGAAUCGUCAAUCAAUUUUGAGUCUUUUGCCAAGAUGUUUGCCAUGCCAACUGAUGCGAGACGUGCAAGUGCGCGCUGACGUCAUGUUCCCGCGCCAGUGACUGGGACAGACUCCCCCGCUGGAGAAAACGGCCAAUCCGUGCAUGUCCACACGUAUUCGGGGGGGUAUAAGAAAAGAAAUAUACAAUCCAAGCCCCCCUGUGCUGUCUUCCCCUGUGUCAUCACUUCAUUCAUCGGUAUCCUUGGUAGCCAUAGUAAUCCCAAUAUUGUGAUCGGUCAUCAUAGUUCUGCCACUGCUGAGAAGACAACAGAAGAUAAGUCAGGAUUUAUGCAAGACAAACCUCAUGCACAGUUGCAAUGUGCCCGAUCCAAGUGGUCUCAAUACAUAAUGUACCUGUAAUGUCACCUUACAGCAAGCAACCAAAUCACAUGGCACAUAAGCUUCCUGUUACAGGAUUGUAUUGUAUUUGUAGCUAUCUAAAGCUUGUGUUUGUCAUAGCUUAUCAAUGUGGAUUCAAUUUGUACCAAGUUUAUCUAGUCUUCUCUGUUUAACUUUUAAAUACAAGCAAGACUAUGAACCCCA